rnacentral:lncRNA from 1 species
GGGCUGACAGUUCAGCUGGAAGCUCCCCAGGAAGCUGACCUGAUAAAGUUUUGUUCCAGAUUGUGACCCAGCUGAGAUUAUUUGGAGGGGCAAGAGCCCAGACAUUGUUGUGACAGCGGCUGUGAGAAAUCUCUCUUCACAGAUCUCCAAACGUCCAAUAGACAAGUGGCUGAAGUGGAAGUUUCUUAUUCUACAGGUCUGCUCCCUCCCCAGAACUGCUCCAUCAUGUGCAAUGAAUGAGGUGAGAGACUUGUACAAAACAGAUUUUAAUUGACUUGUUACAUCAUUACGCACAAGGGAAUGUAUUGAAUUUUACAGUUAGUCUUACUCUGAUAUUUCUCAGUUUUGGAAUUCUGAAUUUUUGCAA